UUACCGAAGCACGCUGACGUCCGGCGUGCCCACUUUCUGAUCUUCUUGUCUUCAGCAAUGUCGGAAAAAUCACAGUGAUCAUCAUCAGCCAAUAUUGUGUGGGGUUCAAUGGACAUAAACUCCAGGGCAACGGCAUUCUCAAGGAUGAAAUAGACCAGCUCCUCCUGAGGACGGUAACACCGAAACCCGCUCAUGUAGACCGUCUUGAGGUGAUCAUGGCGGCUCAAGCGAUACGCACUUAAUAUGACUGGGUAAAAUGGAUCAAUACUCACAUGCCAUUCUAGCACCUCCAGUAGAGGAGUGAAUUCCAAGUAGUGCGCCAAUUGAACAACUCCCUUACAAGUAUUCGGAGCACUAGUUAAGACAUAUACCUCACACUUCAGAUGCCUCAAAUGCAUAAACAUGUUGCGUGGUUGUCGAAACUAGAUUUCGACAAUAAUAAAAGGGGGUGGCUAUCAAGCUUGGAAAGUCUAAGCUCCUUGACAGGUAAAGCACUUGGAAGCACAGUGAACACAUGGUCAAGUUGAUUAAGUUCAAGAAAUACGAUUGUUGCCUUCACUGAUUUUGGGCAACCAUGAAGCAUGAUUGAGAUUGCCUCCCCUCUAUACCCAAAACGCGUAAGACAGGAAACAUGAAAUUCAAUCAUCUGCACCUCCGUACCCCAAAUCCGCAGAUGUUGAAGCUUGUCAAGUUGGCAUGGUAUUACCAAAUCACCCACGCCAGUGCACACACUGAUAUCCAAGUCCUCAAGAAGAGAACAUCGUGACAGCAAGUCUGGAAGAUCCCCCACUAUUUUUACAUACUGCAGCGCGAGCCUUUUGAGCAUGGUAAAACCAGAAAUAUUUGGAUGUACCUCUAUUAAUACAACAGCUAGGAACAAAGACUCAAGAGCAGGGUCAUGCUUAGCAUCCAAAGCAUCAAGUGAGAAGUGGUAAACAUCUUCUAGCAGAUGUUUCCGUGUUGGCCAUCUGUUUCUGUGCCGAGAUUGUAGGUUAACAUCUAUAACCUUUGCCAUCGAUAUGUUUGAAUUCAUCCUUGUUGAGGUCACAGUUGAUGCUGAACUUAUUUAACCCUAUUCCCUUGUGGCGUCGGACAACAUGAUUUACUGUCUUAGAGAAGUACCAUCGGUCAAUUUUGAGAGUACCCUCAUCAGUAGGCUCCUGCUUGGUGCCAUCAAAGCACAGAUUAGGGUGGCAUGUCCAGAGCAUUCUCCAGUUUCUUGACACAAGGCUCGCUCUAGCCGCAUCUCUGAGUGGCAUAAAAGAUACUAUAAGCUGCUGAAUAUCC
rnacentral:sRNA from 1 species